rnacentral:rRNA from 1 species
CAGUAGCCACGGUAAUACGUAGGGUGCGAGCGUUAAUCGGAAUUACUGGGCGUAAAGCGUGCGCAGGCGGUUCGCUAAGACAGAUGUGAAAUCCCCGGGCUUAACCUGGGAACUGCAUUUGUGACUGGCGGGCUAGAGUAUGGCAGAGGGGGGUAGAAUUCCACGUGUAGCAGUGAAAUGCGUAGAGAUGUGGAGGAAUACCGAUGGCGAAGGCAGCCCCCUGGGCCAAUACUGACGCUCAUGCACGAAAGCGUGGGGAGCAAACAGGAUUAGAUACCCCCGUAGUCCCUGUCUCUUAUAC